rnacentral:rRNA from 1 species
UACGUAGGGUGCAAGCGUUGUCCGGAAUCAUUGGGCGUAAAGAGCGUGUAGGCGGUUCGAUAAGUCGGCUGUGAAAGUCCAGGCUCAACCCUGGGAUGCCGGUCGAAACUGUCGGACUAGAGUUCGGAAGAGGCGAGUGGAAUUCCCGGUGUAGCGGUGAAAUGCGCAGAUAUCGGGAGGAACACCAAUGGCGAAGGCAGCUCGCUGGGACGUUACUGACGCUGAGACGCGAAAGCGUGGGGAGCAAACAGG